rnacentral:rRNA from 1 species
GACGAACGCUGGCGGCGUGCCUAAUACAUGCAAGUCGAACGCAGUGGGGACGGGUGAGUAACACGUGGGUAACCUCCCAUCAGAGGGGAUAACACUUGGAAACAGGUGCUAAACCGAUACUGAUGGAUGGACCCGCGGUGCAUUAGCUAGUUGGUGGGGGAACGGCUCACCAAGGCCACGGUGGAAAGGCGACCUGGGAGGGUGAUCGGGCCAACUGGGACUGAGAACCGGCCCAGGCUCCUACGGGAGGGAGGAGUAGGGAAAUUUUGGCAAAGGAAGAAAGGCUUACCGAGGAACCGCGCGGGAGUGAAUAAGGUUUUUGGAUUGUAAAAACCUUGUGUUUGGGAAGCGGUAACUAACCAGAAAGCCACGGCUAACUACGUGCCAGCAGCCGCGGUAAUUC